CGUAGGGUGCGAGCGUUAAUCGGAAUUACUGGGCGUAAAGCGUGCGCAGGCGGUUAUAUAAGACAGAUGUGAAAUCCCCGGGACUCAACCUGGGAACUGCAUUUGUGACUGUAUAGCUAGAGUACGGCAGAGGGGGAUGGAAUUCCGCGUGUAGCAGUGAAAUGCGUAGAUAUGCGGAGGAACACCGAUGGCGAAGGCAAUCCCCUGGGCCUGUACUGACGCUCAUGCACGAAAGCGUGGGGAGCAAACAGGAUUAGAUACCCUGGUAGUCCACGCCCUAAACGAUGUCAACUGGUUGUUGGGUCUUCACUGACUCAGUAACGAAGCUAACGCGUGAAGUUGACCGCCUGGGGAGUACGGCCGCAAGGUUG
rnacentral:rRNA from 1 species